rnacentral:lncRNA from 1 species
GUGCCAUGCUAGGCUUUCCCACUAGGGGCGCCAGAGAAAGCGCGCGAGGCUGCGGAGGAGAGAGGGGCACACUCUUUCCGGUUUGCUUCCGGUUUUUUCCUCAGGUUUCCGGUCUGUUUGGUGCCCUGGUCGCGUGUCUUCGGAACUCUGCUGCUUCUCCCCGGCAGGAGCACUUCCUUCCGCGGCUGCUAAAACUGGUGUGCGGGUUCCCAACUUCGCAGAAGCAGCUUCAUCGGCCCCCCGCUAGAGACCUCAGACUGCAGCCAUCGACGCCUCGCCUCGGGGAUCUGUCCCCACCCUUGGGGCCAGGUCAGGGACCAGAGACCUGCGAAGCCCUCUCCUUAGGGGUUUAGUUCCCAGGCUUUCUGACCCCAGUAAUUCCAAACGCUUCCCUUUGUUUCCACAGCCCUAGCGUAGCAGCUGCUCCCUGCAGUUUUCGCUUCUGAGAUACUUAGAGUUCUCUUUUCAGCUCCUUCGGUAGUCACUUUGUACAUAGUGAUUCAUGAUGCGAAAUCCUCUCUGUUGAAAUAACUGACGAGGCCUCUGUCUUCUGACUGGACCCUGACUUCCAUGCCCUUUCCACCCUCACUCCAGUACAUGCCCAAACCCCAAUCUUUGUUGCUCCAGGCAUUGCCUCUGUGGCGCUGUGUCCCCUCCUUUGAACUCUGAUCCUUCUGCUCAGGCCCUUUCUCCCAGUCUGACUCACCAUGAGUCAGGCCCUGUGCUAGGUGCUGGGAUGAAGCAGUGACUGACACAGGCCUGGACCUGUCCUUGUGAAGAGUGCGUCUGUGACACAGACACUGUGCCAUGUGGCAAACUUGAACGGAGACAUCAGCUCUUUGUGGGUCUCAAGUCUACUGGCUUUCAAUCAGCUCUUCUGCUUGACAGCUGCAGGUCUUGGGACUGCCCAGCCCCCAUAACCCUGUGAGUGCAUUCCUGAUAAUAACCCUCUUUGUCUUGUCCUCCCCCACCCCACAUCAUUGGUUCUGUUUCUCUGGAGAACCAUAAUACAUCAUUUACUAAUCAGGAAAUAGAUUCAGAGACAUUAAUAACUCAUCCAACCUCACAGUUAACUGCAGAGUUGGGCUUGAAAUUCCAAGGUCGAUUUUCUUAGCCAGUACACCAUGCUACAUAUAUGUAUGUAAAAAUAAAAACGCUUGUGAACUGAAAAGGGUCCAAACUGAAGCUCAUUUUGGUCCUUAAUUGCUAAUCCAUAGGCAUGUUUUGGUCCUUAAUUGCUAAUCCAUAAGCAUGUUUCCGUCCUUAUUUGCUAAUCCAUAGGCAUGCACACCUGCCCUCAAGGCCAUGGUUAGGUCAGCACUUGGCCCUCCCCUUGUCUGGGGCUGCCAGAAGCUGCCUCAGAAGACCUCUCC